rnacentral:rRNA from 1 species
UACGGAGGGAGCUAGCGUUAUUCGGAAUUACUGGGCGUAAAGCGCACGUAGGCGGCUUUGUAAGUAAGAGGUGAAAGCCUGGAGCUCAACUCCAGAAUUGCCUUUUAGACUGCAUCGCUUGAAUCAUGGAGAGGUCAGUGGAAUUCCGAGUGUAGAGGUGAAAUUCGUAGAUAUUCGGAAGAACACCAGUGGCGAAGGCGGCUGACUGGACAUGUAUUGACGCUGAGGUGCGAAAGCGUGGGGAGCAAAC